CCGCGCCCGGCCUGCUGCCCCGCCCCCCUACGGGAGGCAGCAGUGGGGAAUUUUGGACAAUGGGGCAAGCCUGAUCCAGCCAUGCCGCGUGUGUGAAGAAGGCCUUCGGGUUGUAAAGCACUUUUAUCCGGAAUGAAAUCGCGGGGGUUAAUAUCUCGGGUGGAUGACGGUACCGGAAGAAGAAGCACGGGCUAACUACGUGCCAGCAGCCGCGGUAAUACGUAGGGUGCGAGCGUUAAUCGGAAUUACUGGGCGUAAAGGAGGGCAGGCGGCCSCGCAAGUCAGGCGUGAAAUCCCCGGGCUUAACCUGGGAAUGGCGUUCGAAACUAAGGGGCUGGAGUAUGUCAGAGGGAGGUGGAAUUACACGUGUAGCGGUGAAUUGAGUAGAUAUAUGUAGGAACAAACACGGCGAAGGCAGCCUCCUGGAUCAAAACUGACGGUCAUGCACGAAAGCUUGGGGAGCAAACAGGA
rnacentral:rRNA from 1 species